rnacentral:sRNA from 1 species
GCCAGGUGCAGUGGUGCACACCUGUAAUCCCAGUGACUCUGGAGGCUGAGGCAGGAGGAUUGCAAGACCAAAGCCAGAGUCUGCAAAUUAGCAAGGCCCAAAGCAACUCAGGGAGAUCCUGUCUCUA